CUGGGGCGGUCGCCUCCUAAAAGGUAACGGAGGCGCUCAAAGGUUCCCUCAGAAUGGUUGGAAAUCAUUCAUAGAGUGUAAAGGCAUAAGGGAGCUUGACUGCGAGACCUACAAGUCGAGCAGGGUCGAAAGACGGACUUAGUGAUCCGGUGGUUCCGCAUGGAAGGGCCAUCGCUCAACGGAUAAAAGCUACCCCGGGGAUAACAGGCUUAUCUCCCCCAAGAGUUCACAUCGACGGGGAGGUUUGGCACCUCGAUGUCGGCUCAUCGCAUCCUGGGGCUGUAGUCGGUCCCAAGGGUUGGGCUGUUCGCCCAUUAAAGCGGUACGCGAGCUGGGUUCAGAACGUCGUGAGACAGUUCGGUCCCUAUCCGUCGUGGGCGUAGGAAAUUUGAGAGGAGCUGUCCUUAGUACGAGAGGACCGGGAUGGACAUACCUCUGGUGUACCAGUUGUCGUGCCAACGGCAUAGCUGGGUAGCUAUGUGUGGACGGGAUAAGUGCUGAAAGCAUCUAAGCAUGAAGCCCCCCUCAAGAUGAGAUUUCCCAACUUCGGUUAUAAGAUCCCUCAAAGAUGAUGAGGUUAAUAGGUUCGAGGUGGAAGCAUGGUGACAUGUGGAGCUGACGAAUACUAAUCGAUCGAAGACUUAAUCAA
rnacentral:rRNA from 1 species